UGCCUGCCCGGUGAUUGAAAAUUAAACGGCUGCGGUACUCUGACCGUGCAAAGGUAGCAUAAUCAUUAGCCUAUUAAUUUUAGGCUGGAAUCAACGGCAAGACGAAGGAAAAGCUGUCUCUUUACAUAAAAUUUGAAUUUCUUGUUUUGGUUAAGAAACCAAAAUAAAUUAGUGGGACGAGAAGACCCUAUUGAGCUUUAAUUUAAUAUUAGAAGGAGUUUUAGUAAAAGAUUUUGAUUGGGGCAAUGAUUCUUUUAAUAAAACAAGAAUAUUUUUAAGUGAAUUUAAUCUAGAAUGACCCAAAUGUUAGUUUUGGUAAAUAGAAAAAGUUACCAUAGGGAUAACAGCGUAAUUCUUUUUGAGAGUACUUAUUGACAAAAGAGUUUGCGACCUCGAUGUUGGAUCAAGUUUACCUGGAGGUGCAGCAGCUUCCAAGGGUUGGUUUGUUCAACCAUGAAAAGCUU
rnacentral:rRNA from 1 species